rnacentral:rRNA from 1 species
UACGUAGGGUGCGAGCGUUAAUCGGAAUUACUGGGCGUAAAGCGUGCGUAGGCGGUUCCGCAAGUCCGCUGUGAAAUCCCCGGGCUUAACCUGGGAAUGGCAGUGGAAACUAUGGGACUUGAAUCCGGCAGAGGGGGGUGGAAUGCCACGUGUAGCAGUGAAAUGCGUAGAGAUGUGGCGGAACACCGAUGGCGAAGGCAGCCCCCUGGGCCG